rnacentral:rRNA from 2 species
UUAAGCGACUAAGCGUACACGGUGGAUGCCCUGGCAGUCAGAGGCGAUGAAGGACGUGCUAAUCUGCGAAAAGCGUCGGUAAGGUGAUAUGAACCGUUAUAGCCGGCGAUGUCCGAAUGGGGAAACCCAGUGCAAUUCGUUGCACUAUCGUUUGAUGAAUACAUAGUCAAACGAGGCGAACCGGGGGAACUGAAACAUCUAAGUACCCCGAGGAAAAGAAAUCAACCGAGAUUCCCCCAGUAGCGGCGAGCGAACGGGGAGCAGCCCGGAGUCUGAAUCAGCUUGUGUGUUAGUGGAAGCGUCUGGAAAGUCGCAGGGUACAGGGUGAUACUCCCGUACACUAAAACACACAGGCUGUGAACUCGAAGAGUAGGGCGGGACACGUGGUAUCCUGUCUGAAUAUGGGGGGACCAUCCUCCAAGGCUAAAUACUCCUGACUGACCGAUAGUGAACCAGUACCGUGAGGGAAAGGCGAAAAGAACCCCGGCGAGGGAGUGAAAAAGAACCUGAAACCGUGUACGUACAAGCAGUAGAAGCCUCUUUAUGGGGUGACUGCGUACCUUUUGUAUAAUGGGUCAGCGACUUAUAUUCUGUAGCAAGGUUAACCGUAUAGGGGAGCCGCAGGGAAACCGAGUCUUAACUGGGCGUUAAGUUGCAGGGUAUAGACCCGAAACCCGGUGAUCUAGCCAUGGGCAGGUUGAAGGUUGGGUAACACUAACUGGAGGACCGAACCGACUAAUGUUGAAAAAUUAGCGGAUGACUUGUGGCUGGGGGUGAAAGGCCAAUCAAACCGGGAGAUAGCUGGUUCUCCCCGAAAGCUAUUUAGGUAGCGCCUCGUGAACUCAUCUUCGGGGGUAGAGCACUGUUUCGGCUAGGGGGUCAUCCCGACUUACCAACCCGAUGCAAACUACGAAUACCGAAGAAUGUUAUCACGGGAGACACACGGCGGGUGCUAACGUCCGUCGUGAAGAGGGAAACAACCCAGACCGCCAGCUAAGGUCCCAAAGUCAUGGUUAAGUGGGAAACGAUGUGGGAAGGCCCAGACAGCCAGGAUGUUGGCUUAGAAGCAGCCAUCAUUUAAAGAAAGCGUAAUAGCUCACUGGUCGAGUCGGCCUGCGCGGAAGAUGUAACGGGCUAAACCAUGCACCGAAGCUGCGGCAGCGACACUAUGUGUUGUUGGGUAGGGGAGCGUUCUGUAAGCCGUUGAAGGUGGCCUGUGAGGGUUGCUGGAGGUAUCAGAAGUGCGAAUGCUGACAUAAGUAACGAUAAUGCGGGUGAAAAACCCGCACGCCGGAAGACCAAGGGUUCCUGUCCAACGUUAAUCGGGGCAGGGUGAGUCGACCCCUAAGGCGAGGCCGAAAGGCGUAGUCGAUGGGAAACAGGUUAAUAUUCCUGUACUCGGUGUUACUGCGAAGGGGGGACGGAGAAGGCUAUGUUGGCCGGGCGACGGUUGUCCCGGUUUAAGCAUGUAGGCGGAUGUUCCAGGUAAAUCCGGAACGUUAUUAACGCUGAGGUGUGAUGACGAGGCACUACGGUGCUGAAGUGACAAAUGCCCUGCUUCCAGGAAAAGCCUCUAAGCAUCAGGUAACAUCAAAUCGUACCCCAAACCGACACAGGUGGUCAGGUAGAGAAUACCAAGGCGCUUGAGAGAACUCGGGUGAAGGAACUAGGCAAAAUGGUGCCGUAACUUCGGGAGAAGGCACGCUGAUAGGUAGGUGAAGUGGUUUACCCAUGGAGCUGAAAUCAGUCGAAGAUACCAGCUGGCUGCAACUGUUUAUUAAAAACACAGCACUGUGCAAACACGAAAGUGGACGUAUACGGUGUGACGCCUGCCCGGUGCCGGAAGGUUAAUUGAUGGGGUUAUCCGUAAGGAGAAGCUCUUGAUCGAAGCCCCGGUAAACGGCGGCCGUAACUAUAACGGUCCUAAGGUAGCGAAAUUCCUUGUCGGGUAAGUUCCGACCUGCACGAAUGGCGUAAUGAUGGCCAGGCUGUCUCCACCCGAGACUCAGUGAAAUUGAACUCGCUGUGAAGAUGCAGUGUACCCGCGGCAAGACGGAAAGACCCCGUGAACCUUUACUAUAGCUUGACACUGAACACUGGUCCUUGAUGUGUAGGAUAGGUGGGAGGCUUUGAAGUGUGGACGCCAGUCUGCAUGGAGCCAUCCUUGAAAUACCACCCUUUAAUGGCUGGUGUUCUAACGUGGGCCCGUUAUCCGGGUUGCGGACAGUGUCUGGUGGGUAGUUUGACUGGGGCGGUCUCCUCCUAAAGAGUAACGGAGGAGCACGAAGGUCAGCUAAUCCUGGUCGGACAUCAGGAGGUUAGUGCAAUGGCAUAAGCUGGCUUGACUGCGAGCGUGACGGCGCGAGCAGGUGCGAAAGCAGGUCAUAGUGAUCCGGUGGUUCUGAAUGGAAGGGCCAUCGCUCAACGGAUAAAAGGUACUCCGGGGAUAACAGGCUGAUACCGCCCAAGAGUUCAUAUCGACGGCGGUGUUUGGCACCUCGAUGUCGGCUCAUCACAUCCUGGGGCUGAAGUAGGUCCCAAGGGUAUGGCUGUUCGCCAUUUAAAGUGGUACGCGAGCUGGGUUUAGAACGUCGUGAGACAGUUCGGUCCCUAUCUGCCGUGGGCGCUGGAGAAUUGAGGGGGGCUGCUCCUAGUACGAGAGGACCGGAGUGGACGCAUCACUGGUGUUCGGGUUGUCAUGCCAAUGGCAUUGCCCGGUAGCUAAAUGCGGAAGAGAUAAGUGCUGAAAGCAUCUAAGCACGAAACUUGCCCCGAGAUGAGUUCUCCCUGACUCCUUGAGAGUCCUGAAGGAACGUUGAAGACGACGACGUUGAUAGGCCGGGUGUGUAAGCGCAGCGAUGCGUUGAGCUAACCGGUACUAAUGAACCGUGAGGCUUAACCUU